rnacentral:rRNA from 1 species
AUUACUGAGUUUACGCUCUAUAACCCUUUGUGAACAUACCUAUAACUGUUGCUUCGGCGGGUAGGGUCUCCGCGACCCUCCCGGCCUCCCGCCUCCGGGCGGGUCGGCGCCCGCCGGAGGAUAACCAAACUCUGAUUUAACGACGUUUCUUCUGAGUGGUACAAGCAAAUAAUCAAAACUUUUAACAACGGAUCUCUUGGUUCUGGCAUCGAUGAAGAACGCAGCGAAAUGCGAUAAGUAAUGUGAAUUGCAGAAUUCAGUGAAUCAUCGAAUCUUUGAACGCACAUUGCGCCCGCCAGCAUUCUGGCGGGCAUGCCUGUUCGAGCGUCAUUUCAACCCUCAAGCUCUGCUUGGUGUUGGGGCCCUACAGCUGAUGUAGGCCCUCAAAGGUAGUGGCGGACCCUCCCGGAGCCUCCUUUGCGUAGUAACUUUACGUCUCGCACUGGGAUCCGGAGGGACUCUUGCCGUAAAACCCCCCAAUUUUCCAAAGGUUGACCUCGGAUCAGGUAGGAAUACCCGCUGAACUUAAGCAUAUCAAUAAGCGGAGGAAAAGAAACCAACAGGGAUUGCCUCAGUAACGGCGAGUGAAGCGGCAACAGCUCAAAUUUGAAAUCUG